rnacentral:rRNA from 1 species
AUGAACGCUAGCGACAGGCUUAACACAUGCAAGUCGAGGGGCAGCACAGGUAGCAAUACCGGGUGGCGACCGGCGCACGGGUGAGUAACGCGUAUGCAACUUACCUAUCAGAGGGGGAUAACCCGGCGAAAGUCGGACUAAUACCGCAUGAAGCAGGGGCCCCGCAUGGGGAUAUUUGCUAAAGAUUCAUCGCUGAUAGAUAGGCAUGCGUUCCAUUAGGCAGUUGGCGGGGUAACGGCCCACCAAACCGACGAUGGAUAGGGGUUCUGAGAGGAAGGUCCCCCACAUUGGUACUGAGACACGGACCAAACUCCUACGGGAGGCAGCAGUGAGGAAUAUUGGUCAAUGGGCGUAAGCCUGAACCAGCCAAGUCGCGUGAGGGAUGAAGGUUCUAUGGAUCGUAAACCUCUUUUAUAAGGGAAUAAAGUGACCCACGUGUGGGUUUUUGUAUGUACCUUAUGAAUAAGGAUCGGCUAACUCCGUGCCAGCAGCCGCGGUAAUACGGAGGAUCCGAGCGUUAUCCGGAUUUAUUGGGUUUAAAGGGUGCGUAGGCGGCCUUUUAAGUCAGCGGUGAAAGUCUGUGGCUCAACCAUAGAAUUGCCGUUGAAACUGGGAGGCUUGAGUAUGUUUGAGGCAGGCGGAAUGCGUGGUGUAGCGGUGAAAUGCUUAGAUAUCACGCAGAACCCCGAUUGCGAAGGCAGCCUGCCAAGCCAUGACUGACGCUGAUGCACGAAAGCGUGGGGAUCAAACAGGAUUAGAUACCCUGGUAGUCCACGCAGUAAACGAUGAUCACUAGCUGUUUGCGAUACACAGUAAGCGGCACAGCGAAAGCGUUAAGUGAUCCACCUGGGGAGUACGCCGGCAACGGUGAAACUCAAAGGAAUUGACGGGGGCCCGCACAAGCGGAGGAACAUGUGGUUUAAUUCGAUGAUACGCGAGGAACCUUACCCGGGUUUGAACGCAUUCGGACCGAGGUGGAAACACCUUUUCUAGCAAUAGCCGUUUGCGAGGUGCUGCAUGGUUGUCGUCAGCUCGUGCCGUGAGGUGUCGGCUUAAGUGCCAUAACGAGCGCAACCCUUGCCACUAGUUACUAACAGGUGAUGCUGAGGACUCUGGUGGGACUGCCAGCGUAAGCUGCGAGGAAGGCGGGGAUGACGUCAAAUCAGCACGGCCCUUACAUCCGGGGCGACACACGUGUUACAAUGGCGUGGACAAAGGGAAGCCACCUGGCGACAGGGAGCGAAUCCCCAAACCACGUCUCAGUUCGGAUCGGAGUCUGCAACCCGACUCCGUGAAGCUGGAUUCGCUAGUAAUCGCGCAUCAGCCAUGGCGCGGUGAAUACGUUCCCGGGCCUUGUACACACCGCCCGUCAAGCCAUGGGAGCCGGGGGUACCUGAAGUCCGUAACCGCGAGGAUCGGCCUAGGGUAAAACUGGUGACUGGGGCU